GCCAGGAGACAGGUCACUUGUGAGUUUGGGAAGGCUGGGUCCAAUCCUCCCCAGUGGCACUAGGAGCAUGGUGCCUCCAGGAGUCUGUGGCACAUUGCCAGGCAGCUCUGCUGGUUACACCACACAAGGCUUCACCAAGCUGGUUUCUGAUGCCUUCUCUUUUUCUGCUCCCUGCUUCAAGUGCUCACGAAGUGUGGACGUUGGGAGAUUAGAUGAUCUUGUGAUGAGCAGCAGAAAUAGGUCUGUGUCAAACUGAAAUUCCCAGCGUGUUAUUGUAACCUUCUCUGAUGUUUGUGAUUUUACUUCCAGAUUGGAAUGUAAAACUCCAGUAAAGGCAUAAAGCAACAUAAACCUGGUAACUGCAUUUUAUUGUCAGAAUGAAAGUGGUGGAACACAGGCCAAGCCAACUACGAGAAAGGCCAGACAGACCGAGAUAACAAAAAGAAUAAUUUCUUAGAAAAGAUCUCUCUGGAGGAAAGGAACAUGUUUCCUCAUCCUGAAUCCUAAUUCAAGGAAGAGGGAGGGGGUUUCUGAAGGCAAACUGACAUGAGCAGUUCACCCCAGACAGAAGAAUCUCCACAUGGGUCUAGAAGGGCACCAGACAAAGUCAUGCUUCAGAAGAGCAGCAAUAUCCGAAUUCAGCAGGCGUUCAGGAUUUGUUUCUUCAGACUGCAUAACUCUACAGGUACUCUGUUUUAAGCCUGGAUUCCCUCCUUUCUGACAGAGAGCUGAACAGGUGCUCAGUUCUCCCUCAAUCAUGGGGGAAAAUAUCCUAAGCAUCAGGCCUGGGAAAGGUGUGCCACUGCCACUGCCACCCAGGGUGGCUGAAAGUGAAGCUCCCACAGGAGACUACAACUUCCUGACAGGUGAAAAGUACACAGUUUGAGAGUUGUUGAUGUGUGCUCCAGGUGGGAUGGCUCCAGAUGGGAUGGCUCAGCCAUGCUCACCCAAAGAGCUGCUUCUUGGAGACAUCCAUGGUUUUCCACCUUAUUUCCACUCAAAAAAUCAGGUGAAGAAAUGGAUCUGGUUCUAACUUCAAAUUGUAGGGGCUGAAAGUAAUUCUUCUGCUAACAACAGUUGUAACCAGUAGUGACUGUGGUGAUAAAUCAAGGCUGUGUAUUUGUUUUAAUGUACCAGUUGAACUCGGAUGAAAACUUUGCUUUUCUCCCCUUCCACCCACCCUUCACCAGGCUGACCCCCUCCAUGAUCCAGUUCAAAUGCAUGCAGACACUGUGAAUGGAGCUGUCAGCUGUCUCUCUUACCAAGAGAGUAAUUUCUCUGGGGAAAUGACUGGCACUUCAACAGCUUCAGGAUAGAGUUCAUUCACAGAUGUAGAUAGAUUAUAAAGGCAGGUUACUCCUUCCUACCUCAGCAGGCUGUAUUACACAGAGCAGAAGAAACAUACCAAAAUAAGGAAAUGCUUUCUGGUAGAUGACACAUCUACAGCUGGACAGAAGCACAGUCACCCACAAUUGACCAGAUAGGCCAAUACAUUGUCACUCAGGAGUUUAUUCUACAUUUACAGCCUUGUCUCCAAACAGAAGUGAGCAAAAUUCCAGUUUGUGCCUCUGAUUCACAAACUCACAUCUAACCUAAUGGUUGACUGAGGCCACUUCCUGUCAGCUUCCUCACAAUACAGUUUUACUGCUAUUCCAGAAGAGAAAGGAGAUUAAGAGGCAAUGAAAUAUCCUCUGGAGGCUUCCAGAUUGCUUUCAUUCAUAAUUCUGUCUCAGUACUGUAAUUGAGAUAUAAAUAAUCUCCUUGUUUCCACUUCAGUUACUUUCAAACUCUCCAACAUGAGAACAGAGUCUUGUAUCUCUCAGGUACCUCAGAAAGAAAGUUAUUGCACCAGAAAGCAAAGAUGAUUUUAAAAAUAGUUUCACAUCAGCUCAAAUGAUAAUGCAG